GUAGUGGCGAACGAACGGGGAACAGCCCAGCGCAUAACCUCCCGGGCUCCCAAGCCUGCGGCGGAAUGUUGCGUUAAGGGAAAGGUCGUUUAUAAGCCCCGCACUACAUAGCCUAAGUAUGGCUUGAAUAACCACUGUACUCUUAACGGAUACAAAGGCUCCACAGAGGGUGUAAGACCCGUGUGGCUAUGUGAUUAAAUGUGCGCGGGUUCGGCUUUAUUCCCUGAGAGUCGCGUUGCUUUGACAUGCAGCGCUAAGCAGGUCGUAAACUCGACCUAAGGCUAAAUAUUUUCACAGAACCGAUAGUAAACAAGUACCGUGAGGGAAAGUUGAAAAGCACUCUGAAGAGAGAGUCAAAAGACCGUGAAACCACUUAGAGUAUAAGCCAAUGGUAUUCUGGAAGGCUGGAGCAAGCCCGAGACUCGUUCCCGUUUUGUGGGAGACCAAUCUCAGGUUAGCGUGUGUGUAUUAGAUCGAGAAGGCAUGGUGGGCAAUCGAAUGGAGAAGUGGACUUGAGUGUAUAUCACGGCUAAAACAUCUCGCGGGUCUCUGACAGUGGUAACAGGGGAUGUUCUAAUGAGGAACUGAACCGAGGCUGGACUUUUGCGAGCUCCGGCUUUGAGACACACAGAGCGAGUUGCUUUAACACAGCUGCACCGCGAUCGUUUAUAAGGUCUCCCUUACUGGGGUCAUGAGACUACAGAGUCGUGUCGCGUCCUUGCGCAAGGCGUUAUGUGUGCCGUUUGGCGGUAUGCUCCUUCAUACAUUCACGUGUGUGUUGGGCCUUGCGUCGGCCGACUCGCUUGUCUAAACCCUUAUCCAAAGUAAGUGCGAAUGAUCCUAUGUGAACAUUGUGAUCUGACAGUGCCAAAACCCAGAAGCCUUAGCCCCACCUGGGCGGGCGAACUACGUACGGAAUCUGUGGUCGGACCAGUGCACCCUCUUAAGUCGAUCAAACGGCCGCUCGGGAUAGUAGGGGACCCAAUGUUGCAGCCUCUGCGCUGUAAUACGGUUUCUCAGCCCGUUGGGGUCCUUGGUUGAUGAGGGUGAGGCCUUUGUCUAGGUUCCAGGUUACCCGCCGCGGUGCUUGUAAAAACUGCAUAAUCGCAGCCGUUGGGUAAUGGCAGAUCGGUGUUUUAUUCCAGAACCAUUGGUCACGUCUCGAAACACGGGCCAAGGAGCAUAGCAUGUGCGCAAGUCUAAGGGAUAAGAAAUCCUGGAGGCAAAGUGAAAGCGAAUGGUGUGUUUGUAGGGAGCGGCUUUACUGUCGUUCCUUGCACUCAGCCUGCGAUGAGCGUAAUUCUUGUGUGUUAGAGCUUGCUCUCUCGCGCGGAUGACUGCGUCGCGCGGCUUAAACCGGGUUGAACCGUCGUAAUAAAGGCGUCAUGCCGAUACGUUGGUGCAGACCCCAGGCUCUCGUGUAAGGGUAUUUGUUUAUCCUUGAGAGCACUGUCGAGCGUKCAUGCUAUAACCCGAAAGAUAGUGAACUAUGCCUGGCG
rnacentral:rRNA from 1 species